UUUCCGGUUGAUCCUGCCGGACCUGACUGCUAUCGGAUUGAUACUAAGCCAUGCGAGUUAUUGUAGCAAUACAAGGCAGACGGCUCAGUAACGCGUAGUCAACCUAACCUAUGGACGGGAAUAACCUCGGGAAAUUGAGAAUAAUGCCCGAUAGAACACUAUAUCUGGAAUGGUUUGUGUUCCAAAUGAUUUAUCGCCGUAGGAUGGGACUGCGGCCUAUCAGUUUGUUGGUGAGGUAAUGGCCCACCAAGACUAUUACAGGUACGGGCUCUGAGAGGAGUAGCCCGGAGAUGGGUACUGAGACACGGACCCAGGCCCUAUGGGGCGCAGCAGGCGAGAAAACUUUGCAAUGUGCGAAAGCACGACAAGGUUAAUCCGAGUGGUUUCUGCUAAAGGAACCUUUUGUCGGUCCUAGAAACACCGAUGAAUAAGGGGUGGGCAAGUUCUGGUGUCAGCCGCCGCGGUAAAACCAGCACCUCAAGUGGUCAGGAUGAUUAUUGGGCCUAAAACAUCCGUAGCCUGCUUUGUUAGUUUUCGGUUAAAUCUAUACGCUCAACGUAUAGGCUGCCGGGAAUACUGCAAAGCUAGGGAGUGGGAGAGGUAGACGGUACUCGGUAGGAAGGGAUAAAAUCCUUUGAUCUAUUGAUGACCACCUGUGGCGAAGGCGGUCUACCAGAACACGUCCGACGGUGAGGGAUGAAAGCUGGGGGAGCAAACCGGAUUAGAUACCCGGGUAGUCCCAGCCGUAAACCAUGCAAACUCAGUGAUGCAUUGGCUUGUGGCCAAUGCAGUGCUGCAGGGAAGCCGUUAAGUUUGCCGCCUGGGAAGUACGUACGCAAGUAUGAAACUUAAAGGAAUUGGCGGGGGAGCACCACAAGGGGUGAAGCCUGCGGUUCAAUUGGAGUCAACGCCGGAA
rnacentral:rRNA from 1 species